GAUGAACGCUGGCGGCGUGCCUAAUACAUGCAAGUCGAGCGAACAGACGAGGAGCUUGCUCCUCUGACGUUAGCGGCGGACGGGUGAGUAACACGUGGAUAACCUACCUAUAAGACUGGGAUAACUUCGGGAAACCGGAGCUAAUACCGGAUAAUAUAUUGAACCGCAUGGUUCAAUAGUGAAAGACGGUUUUGCUGUCACUUAUAGAUGGAUCCGCGCCGCAUUAGCUAGUUGGUAAGGUAACGGCUUACCAAGGCAACGAUGCGUAGCCGAGCUGAGAGGGGGCUCGGCCACACGAGAACUGAAACACGGUCCAGACUACUACGAGAGGCAGCAGUAGGGAAUCUUCCGCAAUGGGCGAAAGCCUGGCGGAGCAGCGCCGCGUGAGUGGUGAAGGCCUUCGGAUCGUGAAGCUCUGUUAUUGGGGAAGAACAAAUGUGUAAGUAACUAUACACGUCUUGACGGUACCUAAUCAGAAAGCCACGGCUAACUACGUG
rnacentral:rRNA from 1 species